rnacentral:rRNA from 1 species
CCUACGGGUGGCAGCAGUGGGGAAUCUUCCGCAAUGGGCGAAAGCCUGAUGGAGCAACGCCGCGUGAGCGAAUGAAGGCCUUCGGGUUGUAAAGAUCUGUUGUCAGGGACGAAUAAGCAAUGCGAAUAGUUUUGUGUAUGACGGUACCUGUUUAGAAAGCUCCGGCUAACUACGUGCCAGCAGCCGCGGGAAUUCGUAGGGUGCAAGCGUUUGCCGGAAUUACUGGGCGUAAAGGGCGUGUAGGUGGGGGCAUAAGUUCGGUGGGAAAACUCCGGGCUCAACCGGGAGACUGCACUUGAAACUGUGUGUCUUGAGGGCAGAAGAGGAAAGUGGAAUUCCUGGUGUAGCGGUGAAAUGCGUAGAUAUUAGGAGGAACACCAGUGGCGAAGGCGGCUUUCUGGACUGUAACUGACGCUGAGGCGCGAAAGCAUGGGUAGCGAACGGGAUUAGAUACCCGGGUAGUC